UACCUAUAAGACUGGGACAACUUCGGGAAACCGGAGCUAAUACAGAUAAGAUAUCGAACCGCAUGGUUCAAUAGUGAAAGANGGUUUUGCUAUCACUUAUAGAUGGACCCGCGCCGUAUUAGCUAGUUGGUGAGGUAACGGCUCACCAAGGCAACGAUACGUAGCCGACCUGAGAGGGUGAUCGGCCACACUGGAACUGAGACACGGUCCAGACUCCUACGGGAGGCAGCAGCU
rnacentral:rRNA from 1 species